rnacentral:rRNA from 1 species
CAGCUAGUUGGUGUGGUAACGGCGCACCAAGGCGACGAUCAGUAGCUGGUCUGAGAGGAUGAUCAGCCACAUUGGGACUGAGACACGGCCCAAACUCCUACGGGAGGCAGCAGUGGGGAAUAUUGGACAAUGGGCGCAAGCCUGAUCCGGCCAUGCCGCGUGAGUGAUGAAGGCCCUAGGGUUGUAAAGCUCUUUUGUGCGGGAAGAUAAUGACGGUACCGCAAGAAUAAGCCCCGGCUAACUUCGUGCCAGCAGCCGCGGUAAUACGAAGGGGGCUAGCGUUGCUCGGAAUCACUGGGCGUAAAGGGUGCGUAGGCGGGUCUUUAAGUCAGGGGUGAAAUCCUGGAGCUCAACUCCAGAACUGCCUUUGAUACUGAGGAUCUUGAGUUCGGGAGAGGUGAGUGGAACUGCGAGUGUAGAGGUGAAAUUCGUAG